CAGAAACAUGAAUCAUGACCACAUCUUUCCAGAUCAGAGAGGGCCUUCGAGUCACCCAUAAAUGCUCCCGUGCAUGCUGACAUGUGCCUCGUCAGAUGGCCUGAGUGUGACCGAGUCCAUGUUCUUCAGCAAGGAGUAUGCUUUUUCCCAGUCUUAAGGCAUUGCAUCUUGAUUGAUCUAAGCUAAUCAAAAUGGAAAGAGAUGGAAAGAACUUUCUCGAAAAUGUGACCAAGUGAAGAAAAAUGAUUUAAAGAGACUUUGAGGGCACAUCUUGCAUAGAAGAAGCGUCUCUCCUUUUGUCUCUGUGGUCUCUAAGUGUGAACCAUCAAUCAUCUAGCAGGUGAGUUGGUGGAAACCCCUGUCCUGAGCUAGAGUCUUGGAACUUGGUCUCUGCUAUGUAUAUUCGGUAGAAAAAGGUUGUUAGGACUUGAAAUUAGGGCCAAGAUCUUCUAAUCCUGAAAUAAAUUACAUUUAUUGGGGGGAUUUCAAACUCUCUAAUGAGUAUAUCCAAUUUCCUAUCCACUCUACAAGCUUAGGGCUGAGACCUCCACAGUGAU